rnacentral:rRNA from 1 species
AGCAGCCGCGGUAAUUCCAGCUCCAAUAGCGUAUAUUAAAGUUGUUGCAGUUAAAAAGCUCGUAGUUGAAUUUCGGGGUUAGCAGGUCGGUCGUGCCAUUGGUAUGAACUGGUCUCGCUGAUCCCUCCCUCUUGACGAACUGUGAUGCCAUUAAUUUGGUGUCGCAGGGAAUCAGGACUGUUACUUUGAAAAAAUUAGAGUGUUUAAAGCAGGCUCACGCUUGAAUACAUUAGCAUGGAAUAAUGAAAUAGGACGUUUGAUCCUAUUUUGUUGGCUUCUAGGAUUGACGUAAUGAUUAAUAGGGAUAGUUGGGGGCAUUAGUAUUCAAUUGUCAGAGGUGAAAUUCUUGGAUUUAUUGAAGACUAACUACUGCGAAAGCAUUUGCCAAGGAUGUUUUCAUUAAUCAAGAACGAAAGUUAGGGGAUCGAAGACGAUCAGAUACCGUCGUAG